CCUGUCACUGCAGAACAAGGAUACGUUUAUGAAUAGUAGACGUAUUUGAUGGUAUGCGGAGAGGAAGGGACGGCUAACUCUGUGC
rnacentral:rRNA from 1 species